GGAUGUGAGGGCGAUCUGGCUGCGACAUCUAUCACCCCAUUGAUCGUCAGGGUUGAUUCGGCUGAUCUGGCUGGCUAGGUGGGUGUCCCCCUCCUCCCUCACCGCUCCAUGUGCGUCCCUCCCGAAGCUGCACGCUCGGUCGAAGAGGACGAAAAAAAAAAAGUAUAUACCAAAGAGAAAUGAAAGUAUUUGUCCACAGAAUCACUUGUACGCAGAUGUUCGUAGCAGCAUGACUCAUCGGAGCUAAAAGGUGGAAACAACGUGAAAGAAAAGAUAAACCAAAUGUGGCACAUUCGUACGCCAGAAUAU
rnacentral:snRNA from 1 species